rnacentral:rRNA from 1 species
UCUUGGUCAUUUAGAGGAAGUAAAAGUCGUAACAAGGUUUCCGUAGGUGAACCUGCGGAAGGAUCAUUAUUGAAUAAGCUGGUUGGGUUGUUGCUGGCUCUCCGGGGCAUGUGCACACCUGACACCAACUUUUUACCACCUGUGCACCUUCUGUAGACCUGGAUAAACUCUCGAGGGAACUCGGUUUGAGGACUGCUGUGUGUAAAAGCCAGCUUUCCUUGUAACUUCCGGUCUAUGUCUUUAUAUACACCCCUACAGUAUGUCUAAGAAUGUUUGUUGUUGGGCUUCAAUGCCUUUAAACUUAAUACAACUUUCAACAACGGAUCUCUUGGCUCUCGCAUCGAUGAAGAACGCAGCGAAAUGCGAUAAGUAAUGUGAAUUGCAGAAUUCAGUGAAUCAUCGAAUCUUUGAACGCACCUUGCGCUCCUUGGUAUUCCGAGGAGCAUGCCUGUUUGAGUGUCAUGAAAUUCUCAACCUUUUCAGCUUUCUUUGUUGAUCAGGCUUGGAUGUGGGAGUAUGCGGGCUUCUCAGAAGUCGGCUCUCCUGAAAUGCAUUAGCGGGACCUUUGUUGCCUGGCUUUGGUGUGAUAAUUAUCUACGCCAUUGUAGUCAAGCAGCUUAAAAUGAGGUUUCAGCUUCUAACCGUCUCCCCUGAGACAACUUUUUGACAAUUUGACCUCAAAUCAUGUAGGACUACCCGCUGAACUUAAGCAUAUCAAUAAGCGGAGGA